AAGUCGUAACAAGGUAUCUGUAGGUGAACCUGCAGAUGGAUCAUUUCGAUGAAAAGCCUUUUUUUUCUGAGGUGCGGCCCGCACCUGUCCAACUAAAAUAGGGCUACCCAUUUAACACGGUUGCAUCGGUUGGGCUUGUCGAACAGUGCGCGAAAGCGUGUCUGCGAGGCGGCCUGACACCAACAUAAAACACUUUUGAUGAUCUAGGAUUUGAAAGUUUAAUAUUUUACGGCUGGUAAUGCGGUCGUCUAAAAUCUUAAAAACAACUUUUGGCAACGGAUCUCUUGGUUCUCC
rnacentral:misc_RNA from 1 species